rnacentral:rRNA from 1 species
UACGUAGGGCGCAAUCGUUGUCCGGAAUUAUUGGGCGUAAAGAGCUCGUAGGCGGCCUGUUGCGUCCGCUGUGAAAUCCCGGGGCUCAACCCCGGGCGUGCAGUGGAUACGGGCUGGCUGGAGGCAGGCAGGGGAGAACGGAAUUCCUGGUGUAGCGGUGAAAUGCGCAGAUAUCAGGAGGAACACCGGUGGCGAAGGCGGUUCUCUGGGCCUGUACUGACGCUGAGGAGCGAAAGCGUGGGGAGCGAACAGG